rnacentral:rRNA from 1 species
UACGUAGGGGGCAAGCGUUGUCCGGAUUUACUGGGCGUAAAGCGCGCGUAGGCGGAACGUUAAGUCUGGCCUGAAAGCCCCCGGCUCAACCGGGGAGGGUGGCUGGAAACUGGCGUUCUUGAGGGCGAUAGAGGAGUGUGGAAUUCCUGGUGUAGCGGUGAAAUGCGUAGAUAUCAGGAGGAACACCGGUGGCGAAGGCGGCUACCUGGACAGAAACUGACGCUGAGGCGCGAAGGCGUGGGGAGCAAACAGG